UACGGAGGGCGCAAACGAUAUCCGGAAUUACUGGGUUUAUAGGGUGCGUAGGCUGCUUGAUAAGUCAGAGGUGAAAGCCUAUCGCUUAACGAUAGAAUUGCCUUUGAUACUGUAAAGCUUGAAAGGGGUUGAGGUCAGCAGAAUGUGGCAUGUAGCGGUGAAAUGCAUAGAUAUGCCAUAGAACACCGAUUGCGAAGGCAGCUGGCUGGGCCUACUUUGACGAUGAGGCACGAAAGCGUGGGGAGCGAACAGG
rnacentral:rRNA from 1 species